AAUGAAAAUCAGAUCCAGAAGAGAAUUUUUUCUUGUUGUGUCCUCUACCUUUUGAAGGAUGAAAUUAUCAUUAAGAUAUGAUGGACAAUAAAUUGGUCU
rnacentral:lncRNA from 1 species